ensembl:lncRNA
GCUCUGUUGAAAUUGACGCGGUUCAGCAAUGGCUCGCAUCAAAAAUAGAAGUGCUAUGGAAUGGUAGCGCUGUGGCGCGGUGCGCCGCUUCUGGGACGCUGCUGAGCCGGUGGAAAUGGUUUCAUUGAUUAGAGUGGCAGCCGUUCAGCGGCGCUCACGUCCCCGGUGGAAAUCAGGAGGCAGAUGCUGAUGUCAGAAGGGAGUGUGUCCUCAAAUCUCUUAUCAUCUACCUGGGAGAAUGUGUUGAGGACCUGAUAAAAGAAUACACCAGUGUUUCCCCUAUAUGCAUUCAGAAAUAUGACCGCCGCUGCUGAAUAUAUAUAUCUUUUUUUUAACAAGAGGAAAAAACGAAUGUUAUAUUAUUUUUGCGCUACGGACGCUUCAUAUCCAGGUCAAUUCACACACUUGGGAGCAAAGCAUAAAAACAGAGGAGUAGAGGAGAAAGCUCCAUCCUCUCUUUAGAAACGUAUAUUAUUGUGCGGUACGGACGCUUCAUAUCCAGGUAAAGUGAGUAAAGCAUAUAAACGAAAAACUGAGCUUACGUGAUAAUGUCAGCACAACGAUUAUAACAACAAGCACCGGGUAGAUGACAAAUGAAGCAAGCAAUGCUGAUCACGGAUUGAGGAUUAUCAUUCGCCGAAGGGAAAACAGUCCUGCAACUUCACACGAGUAUCGCACAUUAUUACACGGGUCUUCUUAAUACCGUGGAACGCUCCGUUCACUUGCAUGGGCCCUUCACAACUUCCGACGGUGAAUUACAUUUGAUAAUUCUCCAUUGCUAAGUAUAAUUGAACGCUGUCAAGGAAAACCAAGGAUUUUUGCCUCUAAUGACGUCUUUCGUAGGCCUAUAACUCCGAAGGCCCAGAUUUCGUAGGCCCAGAUUCCCACACAGAGUACAUCUUAUUUGGAUUGGAUUCCGUUAAAGAAACGUCAUAAAUGUAAGUUUUAUCAUUGAAAAUGUCAUUACAUUUAAGUAAAUUAACACUGUUUGAUAAUAAAACAGUGUGGAGAUGCAAGUUAUUCUGGAAAAAAGGACAGUUAAAAAUGAAUAAUUGGAAGAAUAAGUAUGCGUAAGCUAAACAUCCAGUGGAUGUAAACGGUCACCCAGUGGGUAUGGGUCACACAAACUAAUAGCUUUUUUGUCAAAUCACAUGUUUGAAUUAUCAGAUGAGUUUAAAGGACUGGCUGAUUAAAAAGAGAAAGAGGGAUGACCAUGGUUAUGAGGAG